UUAAAAAAAAACUUUCACUAUUUCAGCGCGACUCCCCUGUUCGUGCCUCCGGAUUCCCCACCGCGUCUCCUUCGCACCCUACUUCCCGCUCCGCCGCGGCACUCCGGCGCUCCGACCUACGUUUGGGGCUCUGAUAGAUCAUGGCAAGUAUGAAAGGGGCUGCUAACUUUAGGAACUCGGCAUCUAGUGGAAAACAGUCUUUCCUUCCUCCGAAAAGCCCCUUUCCGACCAUGCCCAUAUCUUCUGCUGACUAUGGGACCAUAGGAUUGAAGGGCAUCCCGAAACUGAGAGAAGGGCACAGACACCACCAGCGCACUUCGUCUGAGAGCUUUCUCAUUGAGGAGCAGCCAUCCUGGCUUGAUGAUCUGCUUAAUGAGCCAGAGACGCCCGUGAAGAGGGGAGCUCAUCGCCGCUCGACAAGUGACUCUUUUGCAUACUUGGAUGGAGCUAAUAUUUAUGCUAACAUGGAAACCUUGGCUCAGGAGGAGGGCAGGCAGCAGGGCAUCUCCUCACAACCUUCAUGGGGAGUUCAGGACUUUGAUUGCCUUAAAGAUGCACGACAUGCUUCUUAUUAUACUGAGGCAAAUUCAUUUGGGAGAUCUCAGAAUAGAGGAUGGGAGGCCUUGAACAUGGUUAACUGUACCAGUGGUGCUCCAUUGGCAAAGGAUGAGAUGGUGCAUCCAGGGUCAACAUCUGUUCUGAGGGAAGCUGAUGCAGCAACAUCUAAUGUUACUGAGAAGGAGGAGCAGGAGCAAUCUCCCAAAGAUUCAAAAGGUACAUCCGAAAGAAAAGAAGGCUCUUAUGCUAAGCAGUCUGAUGUGGACCCAAAACGAGUUAAACAGCAAUUUGCUCAGCGCUCUCGUGUUCGGAAACUUCAGUACAUUGCUGAGCUGGAGAGAAAUGUUCAAGCCUUGCAGGCAGAAAGAAUGGAAGUUUCAGCUGAACUGCAAUUUCUGGAUCAGCAGAAUCUUAUAUUGAACUUGGAGAAUAAAGCCUUGAAGCAACGAUUGGACAGUCUGGCUCAGGAGCAUCUUAUAAAAAGCCUUCAGAAGGAGAUGCUGGAGCGAGAAAUUGCCCGGCUUCGAUCAUUAUAUCAACAGCAGCAGCAGCAACUGCAACAACCACUUGCUCCUGCCCAUAGUCGCAGUAGCAGUAGAGAUCUUGAGUCACAAUUUGCCAAUCUCUCUUUGAAACACAAAGAGCCAAAUUCUGGGCGGGAUCCAGUCACAGAAAUUGCAUCGAGAAGUGAGCUGGAAACUUGGAAUUGCAUCCAAGGUGAAUAAACAUCAGAAGGUUAAUAACUCUAGAGGCUGAUCUUCGUUUCUUUUACUUGUUUCAAUAUGCACACCUGGCAGUCAUCUUCACCUUCCGCCCAUUUGUUGAUGCUCGACCUGUCAGAGAUACUUUCUUUGAAGCUCAUUCAACAUCUGGAUCCUUUUGAUGCCAUGGAUGGUAUGUGGAUGUUUAUGUAGUAUCUGAAGGGAGCAUCGACAACCUUGAUAUCCUGUAUGUUGUAUUGCUAUUCAAACUAUUAUGGCCAACAUCAGUUGAUGGUUUUUUUUCAUUUGUAGUUACUGCUAUUGUUAAUCUUGCUUGCUAGAUGUCCGUAAAAGGCUCAGGCCUGGACGGCUUAACGAUUGCUGGUAAACUUCCCACUGUGCACGGUUCUGGUAGUGCUACUGGUAUUUGACAUAGAUGACUCAUAGUGUUGCUAUGCUGCAUCACUGUACUAUAAUCAAACGGUCGUCUGUGGGAAACUUCUUCCCACGGGAUUUGCAAGUGGUGGUCAUGAACUUGAUUUAAAGUCUUAUUGUUGCAGGCUCGUCGCUCAUAGGUAAGUUGGCUAGGUGAGUUCUUCCAUGACCGCCACUUGAAUUAAAAUUGGUAGUUCAGUGUUUCAAAACGCAGAUUGUUUUGUCUACCAUUGUGAUUGUAUACUCAGGUUUCGAUACAAUGUACCUAAAAGACCAAUACUCUACAUUGGAAAUGUAAGAAGAUUACCAAUGGGCAAUAGAAAUAUAUGUUUACAUGAA